rnacentral:rRNA from 1 species
UGUGACCGGUCCUUAUGGGACUGAGACACGGCCCAGACUCCUACGGGAGGCAGCAGUGGGGAAUAUUGCACAAUGGGCGCAAGCCUGAUGCAGCGACGCCGCGUGAGGGAUGACGGCCUUCGGGUUGUAAACCUCUUUCAGUAGGGAAGAAGCGAAAGUGACGGUACCUGCAGAAGAAGCGCCGGCUAACUACGUGCCAGCAGCCGCGGUAAUACGUAGGGCGCAAGCGUUAUCCGGAAUUAUUGGGCGUAAAGAGCUCGUAGGCGGUUUGUCGCGUCUGCCGUGAAAGUCCGGGGCUCAACUCCGGAUCUGCGGUGGGUACGGGCAGACUAGAGUGAUGUAGGGGAGACUGGAAUUCCUGGUGUAGCGGUGAAAUGCGCAGAUAUCAGGAGGAACACCGAUGGCGAAGGCAGGUCUCUGGGCAUUAACUGACGCUGAGGAGCGAAAGCAUGGGGAGCGAACAGGAUUAGAUACCCUGGUAGUCCAUGCCGUAAACGUUGGGCACUAGGUGUGGGGGACAUUCCACGUUUUCCGCGCCGUAGCUAACGCAUUAAGUGCCCCGCCUGGGGAGUACGGCCGCAAGGCUAAAACUCAAAGGAAUUGACGGGGGCCCGCACAAGCGGCGGAGCAUGCGGAUUAAUUCGAUGCAACGCGAAGAACCUUACCAAGGCUUGACAUGAACCGGAAAGACCUGGAAACAGGUGCCCCGCUUGCGGUCGGUUUACAGGUGGUGCAUGGUUGUCGUCAGCUCGUGUCGUGAGAUGUUGGGUUAAGUCCCGCAACGAGCGCAACCCUCGUUCUAUGUUGCCAGCACGUGAUGGUGGGGACUCAUAGGAGACUGCCGGGGUCAACUCGGAGGAAGGUGGGGACGACGUCAAAUCAUCAUGCCCCUUAUGUCUUGGGCUUCCGCAUGCUACAUGGCCGGUACAAAGGGUUGCGAAA